CGUAAUAGAUCGGUAGCAUUUUUAUCAAACUCAUUUCUGUACAAACUGAUUUUCGCUUCUAGAAAAUAGGGAUGACAUAAGAUAGUUGGCCAUGUUAUGUGAUUGGAAAAUCUAAUUUUUGCGCAAAAAGGACGCCCAGACAGGCGCUGCUUUAUUGACUUUUGACACGUACGAGCUUCCUCGGUUACAAACUCAACAUUUCGUUACACAUGGG
rnacentral:lncRNA from 1 species